rnacentral:lncRNA from 1 species
AACUCGUCUCUAUAUACAUAAUUCAAAUUGGGGCGUUUUUGUAGCUCCGGAAGUACGAGGUGGGGAGAUUUGAGCUUUUCGGGUUAAACUUUUUGAAUUUUUCGAUGAUUUUUGGUGGGGAUUUGGAUUCGGUCAGGGGCGUGCUUUCGGAUUUUUUAAGGGUACGAGUUUUGCUUAGUAGUGGGGGGUGGUGAGAUUGUCUAAGACGAAAAAAUUUCAUUGGGUUUUAAAGCCAACGGUUAGGAAUAAGUGUCACUUUUAACCCGGAGACGCUAGCUGGAACAGGGGCGUCACAAAAAAUUCUCGAACUUGCGAGUUGAAGGGAAAAAGGGCAAAAAAUGGCCAAAAAAUUUCAGAUGGACAUAAAUCGGGUGCUUUUGACCGGGGAGUUAUGUGCUUUUGGACUUAAGCUUUCUAAAUUUUUUCCGAUUUUUUUGUGGAAAGUUAAUCCCUCCCAGGGGCGUACUUUCUUUUUUUUUUUAAGGGGAGCGAGUUUUCCAUAGGGGUCGGAGGUGGGUUGGUGGAAUCCGAAAAAAGUUGGACGGGUUCGGAAGCUAAGGGUUAGGAAUAAGUGCCACUUUUGACCGGGGUGCUCUACCUCUAACAGGGGCGUCACAAAAAAAU